AGUGAACGCUGGCGGUAGGCCUAACACAUGCGAGUCGAACGGCAGCACAGUAAGAGCUUGCUCUUACGGGUGGCGAGUGGCGGACGGGUGAGGAAUACAUCGGAACCUACUUUUUCGUGGGGGAUAACGUAGGGAAACUUACGCUAAUACCGCAUACGACCUACGGGUGAAAGCAGGGGAUCUUCGGACCUUGCGCGAUUGAAUGAGCCGAUGUCGGAUUAGCUAGUUGGCGGGGUAAAGGCCCACCAAGGCGACGAUCCGUAGCUGGUCUGAGAGGAUGAUCAGCCACACUGGAACUGGGACACGGUCCAGACUCCUACGGGAGGCAGCAGUGGGGAAUAUUGGACAAUGGGCGCAAGCCUGAUCCAGCCAUACCGCGUGGGUGAAGAAGGCCUUCGGGUUGUAAAGCCCUUUUGUUGGGAAAGAAAAGCAGCAGGUUAAUACCCCGCUGUUCUGACGGUACCCAAAGAAUAAGCACCGGCUAACUUCGUG
rnacentral:rRNA from 1 species